GAUGCUAUUCUAGAGAUAGAAAGUUACUUCGGUACAUCGGUGACAGGUGGUGCAUGGUUGUCGUCAGCUCGUGUCGUGAGAUGUUGGGUUAAGUCCCGCAACGAGCGCAACCCCUAUUGUUAGUUGCCAUCAUUCAGUUGGGCACUCUAGCGAGACUGCCGGUAAUAAACCGGAGGAAGGUGGGGAUGACGUCAAAUCAUCAUGCCCCUUACGACCUGGGCUACACACGUGCUACAAUGGUUGGUACAACGAGUUGCGAGUCGGUGACGGCGAGCUAAUCUCUUAAAGCCAAUCUCAGUUCGGAUUGUAGGCUGCAACUCGCCUACAUGAAGUCGGAAUCGCUAGUAAUCGCGGAUCAGCACGCCGCGGUGAAUACGUUCCCGGGCCUU
rnacentral:rRNA from 1 species